rnacentral:rRNA from 1 species
AGGACGAACGCUGGCGGCGUGCUUAACACAUGCAAGUCGAGCGGAAAGGCCCUUCGGGGUACUCGAGCGGCGAACGGGUGAGUAACACGUGAGCAAUCUGCCCUUAGCUUCGGGAUAGCUCCGGGAAACCGGAAUUAAUACCGAAUAUGACUUCGGCCGACAUCGGCCUUGGUGGAAAGUUUUUCGGCUAGGGAUGAACUCGCGGCCUAUCAGCUUGUUGGUGGGGUAAUGGCCUACCAAGGCGACGACGGGUAGCCGGCCUGAGAGGGCGACCGGCCACACUGGGACUGAGACACGGCCCAGACUCCUACGGGAGGCAGCAGUGGGGAUAUUGCGCAAUGGGCGAAAGCCUGACGCAGCGACGCCGCGUGGGGGAUGAAGGCCUUCGGGUUGUAACCCCUUUCAGCAGGGACGAAGCGAAGUGACGGUACCUGCAGAAGAGCGCCGGCUAACUACGCGCCAGCAGCCGC